GAAUCUCAUUUUAGGAAAGCACCGCAUUUACGCUGAGGACAUCGACCUUCCAUAAGGCAGCUGGUUGCGGGAAGUGAUGCCCUGAGAGCCUUAGGAGUCCCUUCUCCAAAAGAGCGCCUGGGAGGGCUGCGCAGGUGCAGGCUGUCAAGAAAGGCUUCUCUAAGUCACACUGAAGGAAAGACCUGAAGAAAAUGAGAGCGUGAACUACAGAAGAGUUCCAGGAGGCUGGAGCAGCUUGUGGAAGUUAAUAUUCCUACUGAGAAGAUAGAAGACUUACUUUCAUCAUCUGAAUCAAAUCCAAAGAGUGCCUGACAUUUCUUUUGUGCACGGUAGGAUGUUUUGCUAAGAAUGAUGCCAAGCUGAUGAUCCUAUGCAGUAUUGUCCUCAUUUUACAAAUGAAGAAACAGACACAGAAACUAUCCAAGAUGACGGAGCAUGAAUAGCAAAAGCUUCGUACCUAGACAUAGUGGGAACUCAAUAAAUAUUUGCUGAGUAAAAGUUUAAGACUGGAUUCCCAAGAACACAAGUGUCAAAGGAAAAACUGAAUGGAAAAAUCAAUGUUUUAAAUAUUUGAAUAUAGGCUCUAAUUAAAAGGAAAUGCUACAUCAUCAACACCUUUCAUGUCACUGAAGACAAAAUGGCAUAGAAAAACAGACAUCGAUGACUGCGUAGAAAAGCAUAUCUAGACUCAGAUUCUGAAUGUGAAGAUGUUUUAGAUAUGCCUUAGCCAAUUAAGUUUGCUUAUAAUUUUCAUGUUUUGUGUAUAUACCAGAGUAAUUGAUCAUAAAAAUCUAUUCAACCUAAAAGCUUGCUUUAAAUAAAUAUGAAAUAAAAA